rnacentral:lncRNA from 1 species
UGCAUAUUAUCACAGACUUCUGGCAAUGGGAAGAUUUGAAGUCUCAUGAGGAAAUUGGUAGAAUUACAUUCCUACACAGUCUCAAGCCACUCUUGGUUUUGUGACCCAGUCACCACCUGUGAAAAACCAGGUAUUUUCCAAAGCAACUGAGAGACACCUGCUCUGCACACAGUCCACUGCACACUGCUCUUCCAACUCAGCCCCUACACCGAGGAUCCUCCUUUCGCCACAACCUUCACAGGGUUUCGAGCAGAGCGCCAGAGAGUUUAGAAAGGUUCCAUCUGAGGCACCUUCAGCAGCUUCAUGGGUCACCUGCGGGAGCCAAGACAUUCAAAUUAACGUUGGUGGAAGACUUUGCAAGCUGUAACUCCGGAUGUUUCUGGACUCCUUCAGGGGUAAAUGCUGAGCAUGAUUCUUCCAGAGCCUUGAGACCGGAGCGCAGCUGUCAGUCGUCAUUCUGCAGUCUCACAGUGCCACCUUUUGAUCCUUCCACCCCCACUGUGCUCCCUGUCCUCCCAUAAACCUGGGGCAAACUGUAGUCCAUAAGCAGCAAUACCAGCCACAGCAUCUUGGAUUCGUUAAGAGCUUUGCAGAUGAGCUCAAACUCAUUUUUCAUCUCAUUCCUGAAGUCAUCA